AUUGAACGCUGGCGGCAUGCCUUACACAUGCAAGUCGAACGGCAGCACGGGUGCUUGCACCUGGUGGCGAGUGGCGAACGGGUGAGUAAUACAUCGGAACAUGUCCUGUAGUGGGGGAUAGCCCGGCGAAAGCCGGAUUAAUACCGCAUACGAUCUACGGAUGAAAGCGGGGGACCUUCGGGCCUCGCGCUAUAGGGUUGGCCGAUGGCUGAUUAGCUAGUUAGUGGGGUAAAGGCCUACCAAGGCGACGAUCAGUAGCUGGUCUGAGAGGACGACCAGCCACACUGGGACUGAGACACGGCCCAGACUCCUACGGGAGGCAGCAGUGGGGAAUUUUGGACAAUGGGCGAAAGCCUGAUCCAGCAAUGCCGCGUGUGUGAAGAAGGCCUUCGGGUUGUAAAGCACUUUUGUCCGGAAAGAAAUCCUUGGCCCUAAUACGGUCGGGGGAUGACGGUACCGGAAGAAUAAGCACCGGCUAACUACGUG
rnacentral:rRNA from 1 species